CAGGGACCCAACUAAAGGGAGGAUAAAGCCAGUUAAUCCUUGAAUUCCUGAGCCAGCAACCUCCCAGUCCUGUUUACCUUAAGCCAUUUGGCCUUUGCAGUGGAUUGGCAAGCAGUACAAACAUAUGCAGAUCAGCGGAACAUGCCAUUUUCCUGGGGAAUUAAUGUGUGAAGACAAAUACUUACUCACUACACAUGAAUGUGACAGCUCUGCAAGCCUUCACUCUUAAUAUGUAAAGUCUCAGAAUGAAGUCCUCUGGAUUCUUGACUUUAAAAGGCUGGAGAAGAUAGAAGAAACCACACAGAUUACAUAAAGGCAGAUGUUCAGAGCAUACCAAAAUAGCUUAAAACUAUUUGUAAUCAGCAGAUAUGAGGGUAAGUCUGUUAUCAGCUUUAAAAUAUUUUGUAAUUUUGGGAAAUAUUUUACAAUCCAGGCUCCUCCAGUUUUCCUGUGUCAAAAUGUCAAGUAAGACGUGAAAAAGCUUGAGAACUAGCAAGUAAUUUUGCUUGUGAAUUCCCACAAGUUGGGAUCAACUUGAAGGAUGUAAUUUACAGGCAUUCUUGGGAAAGAAACAUUCUUGUUUCAUGAAAAUGUGGUGUUAAAAUUUGUCAACUGCUUACUGUCCCUUAAGUGCUAAAAGUAAACUUAGCAGGAGUAUACCAUUUUUACACUUUUCAGUUUUCACCUGAUACUUAAAAAGAGAGAGAGAGAGAGAGAGAGAGAGAGAGAGAGAGAGAGAGAGAGAAUUAUAGCUGAUGGCAAAACACACAAAAAUAACUGACGACUAGGAAAUCAGAGUUUUGGCUGCUUACUUUGAAAAGUUGGGCGCCUUUCUCAUUACAGUUACAUGUAAAUGAUUGCUUUACUGAUGGGAUAAUUUUGAUUUCCAAUGUUUUCUGUCAUAUUUUGGAUGUAUUUCCAAACAGAAAAGAGCUAGCAGCAUACAAUACAGCUCUCAUAGUCUGCGUAUCUAAAUCCACCCAUCGUGUACACUUUGUCUCUUUCGUUUCCGCAUUCACUCCUCUCUAUCUCUUUAUCUCUCUGCAUAUAUAUGAAAGUAUUUUACCAUUUUGUACAAUUUUCCAACUUGCUAAUACAAAAGCAAAUCUUUAGUUCUUAUACAAAGUGACCUAUUUUAUUUAUAAGAGUUACUGAUUUACAUAUAGUUGUAUAUAUCGAUGGUAUUUGGCUUAUCAGAAAUUUUAAUUUUUUAUUCAUUUAGGGAUUUGGGAUAUCACUUGAUAUCAUAAUAAAUCAUACCCAAAACAAAGCAAAUAAUAUUAAAAAUUUUUCAACCAGAUUUAUCUUCCUGACAUUGGGAAAAGGGAACAUAUAAUGAUCUGGCCUAGGACAAUGGAGGGGAAUUUUUGAUAUUCCAUAGUUCAUACAAGGAAAAGGGCAUUAGAGAUUAUUAGACAUUUUGGAAAGUGGAAGAGGCUAAAAGAUGAAUUUGAUGAUUUAGCAUCUAUGAAAAUUUCUCUUUGUACAAAACUGACUUGUUUUACUAUAAUAGCUGCUAUGCUCUCUCAAAUUAAAUAUAUAUAUGUAUAUGUCUAUGUGUAUGUAUAUAUAUACAUAUAUAUAUCACAUUUUGGUGAUUUUUGUUUCAAUUCUUUUCUUGAUAGUAUACUAAAAUAUAGUGUUAGAUGCUGUUUAUUUCACUGACAUUAAAUUCAAAGUACUGUGACCUUUGUUGUAACCAUGUCUGGAUACUAGUGGGGAUAAACAAUACAGAAACUGACUCAGGUGAAAACCACGUGCACUAAAACAUGAUUUUCUAAAGCCCAAAGUUUUGGAAACUUUGUAAGGGCCCCAUCUAUAAAGGAAUCAAAAAAGAAAUCAUAGAAAAGAAGGUAUGAAGAAUUUGGAGUGAGGCCUUAGAUAUGUUAAUCUUUUAAUCUUAAUUUCAUUAUCUGUAAAAUAGAGAUGACACUAACACUUACUUUUCUCAUCCCAUGAAGUUAUAUUACUCUUACUAUUAUUAUUGUUAUUAUUGGUGCUGGGGAUCAAACUCAUGACCUCGUGCUUGCCAGGCAGGCACUUAUGCCCCGAGCUAAAUCCCUGCCCCCUCCAUAGAGUUAUUUUAGUGAAUAAGAAAGAUACUGGGCAAUAAAAUACUUCACAUAUGAAAAAAAAGUCACAUUAAUUAUAAUCCCACUAAAAGCACUUGAAGAUAUUACACUGUUGAAAACUAAAAAUCCAUUGUCCCAGUAUAUUGGUAGUAGCAUAUUGUAAAGAUGGAAAUAUAAGGACUGAGCUGGACAACUACACCAUGGGUUGCAGAACAAGGGUUAAAGUCUUCCAGAAGAAUCCCUCAUACAAGCAGAGGCAGCACUGAGAGUUCAAGUGUACGAAUUAUAUCUGCGACCCCUAA